GACGAACGCUGGCGGCGUGCUUAACACAUGCAAGUCGAACGCUGAAACAGGAGCUUGCUUCUGCGGAUGAGUGGCGAACGGGUGAGUAACACGUGAGCAACCUGCCCAUCACUCUGGGAUAAGCGCUGGAAACGGUGUCUAAUACUGGAUACGAGCAAUACCGGCAUCGGUAGUUGUUGGAAAGAUUUAUCGGUGAUGGAUGGGCUCGCGGCCUAUCAGCUUGAUGGUGGGGUAAUGGCUCACCAUGGCGACGACGGGUAGCCGGCCUGAGAGGGUGACCGGCCACACUGGGACUGAGACACGGCCCAGACUCCUACGGGAGGCAGCAGUGGGGAAUAUUGCACAAUGGGCGCAAGCCUGAUGCAGCAACGCCGCGUG
rnacentral:rRNA from 1 species